rnacentral:rRNA from 1 species
CAGUCGCCACGGGAAUACGUAGGGUGCAAGCGUUGUUCGGAUUUACUGGGCGUAAAGCGUACGUAGGCGGAUAUAUAAGUCAGGGGUGAAAUCCCGAGGCUCAACCUCGGAACUGCCUUUGAUACUGGAUAUCUUGAGUCCGAGAGAGGUGAGUGGAACUCCUAGUGUAGAGGUGAAAUUCGUAGAUAUUAGGAAGAACACCAGUGGCGAAGGCGGCUCACUGGCUCGGAACUGACGUUGAGGUACGAAAGCGUGGGGAGCAAACAGGAUUAGAUACCCCUGUAGUCCCUGUCUCUUAUAC